GUUCUUAGGCACCGUUUGGUUCGGAUAUAAGCAAGAAUUAACUAUUAUACGAAUAUGUACAAAUAUGAGGAUUAGAAAAUAGUAUUUGGAUAAAAAUUGGAUUGUUCUCGAGAAUAAAAAAAAAUAACGUUUGAAUAGAUAAUAUGAAAUAAAAAAAAUAGUAGGUAGUUAAAUAUAUAAAAUGGAAGUGUUUGUGAAAAUAAUUAUACCAACUUAUUUCAGAUACUUUAGACCGUUUGGUUCGGGUAUAAGCAAGAACUAGCUAUUACAGGGAUAGGUACAAGUAUGGGGAUAAGAAAAAUAGCGUUUGGAUGAAAAUUGGGUUGUUCCCGAGGAUAAGAAAAAUAUUAGGAAGUUUUAUAUAGAAAAUGAAGGUGUUGGUGGAGAUAACCGAGAACUACUAUUCUCGGAUAAAAAAUUAGCGUUUGGGUAUAAAGGGAGGGAUAAGGGCCUAUUCCUAUCCCUGUUUCCAAACCAAACAGUGCUUUAACAUUUAGAUAUAAAGAGAAAAUAAGAGGU
rnacentral:lncRNA from 1 species